AACGAACGCUGGCGGCGCGCCUAAUACAUGCAAGUCGAGCGAGAAGACGUAGCAAUACGUUUGUAAAGCGGCGAACGGGUGAGGAAUACAUGGGCAACCUACCCUCGAGUGGGGAAUAACUAGCCGAAAGGUUAGCUAAUACCGCGUACGCUCCUUGGACUUCGGUUCAGGGAGGAAAGCGAUACCGUGGGUAUCGCGCUCUUGGAUGGGCUCAUGUCCUAUCAGCUUGUUGGGAGGUAACGGCUCACCAAGGCUUCGACGGGUAGCUGGUCUGAGAGGACGAUCAGCCACACUGGCACUGCGACACGGGCCAGACUCCUACGGGAGGCAGCAGUAAGGAAUAUUGCGCAAUGGGCGAAAGCCUGACGCAGCGACGCCGCGUGGGGGAGUGAAGGUCUUCGGAUUGUAAACCCCUUU
rnacentral:rRNA from 1 species